rnacentral:rRNA from 1 species
GACGAACGCUGGCGGCGUGCCUAAUACAUGCAAGUCGAGCGAAUCUUGAGGUGCUUGCACCUCUUGGUUAGCGGCGGACGGGUGAGUAACACGUGGGCAACCUGCCUGUAAGACUGGGAUAACACCGGGAAACCGGUGCUAAUACCGGAUAAUCCUUUUCCUCUCAUGAGGAAAAGCUGAAAGUCGGUUUCGGCUGACACUUACAGAUGGGCCCGCGGCGCAUUAGCAGUUGGUGAGGUAACGGCUCACCAAGGCGACGAUGCGUAGCCGACCUGAGAGGGUGAUCGGCCACACUGGGACUGAGACACGGCCCAGACUCCUACGGGAGGCAGCAGUAGGGAAUCUUCCGCAAUGGACGAAAGUCUGACGGAGC